AAUGCCGCGUGUGUGAAGAAGGCCUUCGGGUUGUAAAGCACUUUCGGUGGGGAAGAAAUUCUCAAGGGUAAUAUCCUUGGGCGUUGACGUUACCCACAGAAGAAGCACUGGCUAACUCUGUGCCAGCAGCCGCGGUAAUACAGAGAGUGCAAGCGUUAAUCGGAAUCACUGGGCGUAAAGCGCGCGUAGGUGGAUAUUUAAGUCGGAUGUGAAAGCCCUGGGCUUAACCUGGGAAUUGCACCCGAUACUGGGUAUCUUGAGUAUGGUAGAGGGAAGUGGAAUUUCCGGUGUAGCGGUGAAAUGCGUAGAUAUCGGAAAGAACACCAGUGGCGAAGGCGACUUCCUGGACAAUACUGACACUGAGGCGCGAAAGCGUGGGGAGCAAACAGGA
rnacentral:rRNA from 1 species